rnacentral:rRNA from 1 species
UACGAAGGGGGCUAGCGUUGCUCGGAAUCACUGGGCGUAAAGGGUGCGUAGGCGGGUUCUUAAGUUAGAGGUGAAAGCCUGGAGCUCAACUCCAGAACUGCCUUUAAUACUGGGAAUCUUGAGUUCGGAAGAGGUGAGUGGAACUGCGAGUGUAGAGGUGAAAUUUGUAGAUAUUCGCAAGAACACCAGUGGCGAAGGCGGCUCACUGGUCCGAUACUGACGCUGAGGCACGAAAGCGUGGGGAGCAAACAGG